GACGUAGGAGGCGAGCGUUGUUCGGAUUCAUUGGGCGUAAAGGGUGCGUAGGCGGCGCGGUAAGUCGGGUGUGAAAUCUUGGAGCUUAACUCCGAAACUGCAUUCGAUACUGCCGUGCUUGAGGACUGGAGAGGAGACUGGAAUUUACGGUGUAGCGGUGAAAUGCGUAGAUAUCGUAAGGAAGACCAGUGGCGAAGGCGGGUCUCUGGACAGUUCCUGACGCUGAGGCACGAAGGUCAGGGGAGCAAACGGG
rnacentral:rRNA from 1 species